AUUCAAAUAUCCAGAGAGAGAGAGAGAGAGAGAGCGCAACGUAAACAAGCCCAGUGGAGUGUGGAGGCUGAGAAUCUAUUGUUUGGUCAGCUUUUUGAACACUGCGGGGGCGAGGCAGGAAAGACAGCCAUGGAGUCCGAGGCAGAGUCUUCAGAUGUGAAGGCUAGCGGCGGCAGCAGCGAGAGUAAUGGCGAACCCUCCAACAAGAAGCAGCGAGUGGACCUGGCCGGCCUGCCCACCCGCCAGUACCUGGACCAGACUGUGGUCCCCAUCCUGCUGCAGGCUGUCAUGCAGCUCAACAAGGAGAGGCCUGGUGACCCAAUAGAGUGGUUGGCCAACUACCUGCUCAAGAACAAGGCCCAGUAUUCCAAUGGUACCUCAUAGACACACACACACACACACACACACACACACACACACACACACACACACACACACACACACACACACACACACACACACACACACACACACACACACACACACACACACACACACACACACACACACACACACACACACACACACACACACACACACACACACACACACACACACACAUACACUAAAUGCCUCUACUAAUAGUCUACCUAAAUUACUUUUGUACCAUUUUAUCUAUAUAAACCUAAAUAUUAUAUACCUAAGCCAAGUGUUCAAAUGUUAAAUAUCAUGCUGCCAUUUUUGAAGGAAGAAUUGUUAUGUGAAUGAUUUGAUUGUGACUUGCUCUUUAUUUUUGUAAAAUGUUAAAAGCAAAAUUGGUGAUGUGAAUUUAAAGUUUGUGUUUUGUAUUAAGUGUGGGAGAAAAUAUGCAAGUUUAUGAUAAGUGAAUAUAUACAUAUAUAGAGAGAAAGCGUGAAAAAAUAUAAGAUGUGUAUAUACUCAAUGCUUUGCUGUUUGUGAAAAAGAAUAAGAAAAAAAAAAAAACUUGUUUUUAGAAGCUUAUAAUGGAAAAGAAAGGAAAUAAAAUCAUGUUUAGAGGUGUAAAGAUAAUAGAUAAAAUAUUUAGUGCUUUGGUGUUUAUGAAAUAGAGAAACAUGAAACACUGUUGACUUUAAAAGCUUUUAAUGAAAAGAAAAGAAGAAAGUAACUCAUGUUUAGAGAAGUAAAGAAAAAAAAAAAUAUUUAGUGCUUUGGUGUUUGUGAAUGCAGGAAUUGUCAUUCAGUGUGUCUAUGCCUCUGCUUUGCUCCAUAACUCACAGGAGGCCAUAGCAUAGAAUAGUCUGUUUCCAUGAUCCAGAUGUUAUAUUGACCGCUAGUGAAAUAGACAAGUGUUUUAUCUGGUAAUGUUAAUGUUUGACUGCUGUAUGAGAGAGAGAGAGAGAGAGAGAGAGAGAGAUUACUACUAGUUAAAGUUAGACAUCUUUUUAACUUAUUUAGAAUGAUGGGAUGAAAGACACACAAGUUUUGGUUAAUAGUAUUGUAAAAUUAUUUUACUACCAGUACUGUUGCCUGUGAAGAAGGUAGAUAUAACUAUUUUUAGUGUGAAGUGGUUUGGAUGAGAGAGAAAUAAUUUUUUUUAUAUAUUAUUCUACACUGCCUCUCCUGUACCUGCUCACAGCAAUCAAUAAACAGUAUGCCUAAUGAUAA
rnacentral:misc_RNA from 1 species